UACAGAGGUCUCAAGCGUUGUUCGGAUUCAUUGGGCGUAAAGGGUGUGUAGGUGGCGCGCUAAGUCGGGGUGUGAAAUUUUUGGAGCUUAACUCCGAAACUGCAUUCGAUACUGGCGUGCUUGAGGACUGGAGAGGAGACUGGAAUUCAUGGUGUAGCAGUGAAAUGCGUAGAGAUCAUGAGGAAGACCAGUGGCGAAGGCGGG
rnacentral:rRNA from 1 species